rnacentral:rRNA from 1 species
AUGAGCUUCGCUCAACAACAUAGCUCAUACCAAAACAAUUACUCACAUGGGUGGCCUGAAAGCCUGGAUAUGUCAUAUAGGAGCAACAACCCUGAGAUCUCAUCGUUUGCCUCUAGUUAUCCAUUGCAGGGAUUCAGGUACAAUGAGGAGAACCACAACUAUGUUCCACAACAGAUUUAUUCAGCUCCUACUCAUAUACCUCAACACCAGGACAUGUUUCCAAUGGAGUUAAAUGGUCCUCCAUUUGGUCAACCAACAUCUUCAACACAAGUGCCCACACAAGAUGACUUCGAUGACAUAGACAAGCUCGCCCUUUUGAGUCUCGAGUUCACUUGGAGUGCCGAGGAUGAUCCUAUUAGGAAGGUUAUACUAGAUGAAAUGAAUAAGAUCAAGAGUGGAAAAGAGCUAGUGGAAGAAGUAAGGAAGAUUGAGAAGAACAUCAACGCUGGCAGCACUAUUUCUUCACAGUUUGAGCUGAGUGUUGCUGGGAUAUCCCUUGAUACAUGUGAGGUUCCAACACCGUCACAUCCAGCUGAGCAAGAUAGCGAGAGUCCAGAGGAAGAGAUACCUCAGAUUGAAGAAGAUGUAGUCGAAGCCAAGGCACAAGAUGAUCCAGAGCUCGAACAACAAAGUGAUCAAGUUGAAGACUCAUCAUCUAUUACUCUUGAAGAAGCAAAAGAAGUUGAUGUGAUUGAAGAUGAAGAAACAGAAACUCAUUUGCCCAUCGUCAUAAAGGAGCGUGAUUUAGUAGGUUUAUCCAAUCCUCUUGAUGACAUGCUUCCUUAUGAGAUCUUUGCUGCUACUUUCCAUUGUGUUAUACCAUCAAUUAAGCUAGACUUUAAAAAUUAUUUGCUUGGACAUGACCAUACAUACAUUGUUGGUGGCAUUGCUCUCAUUCCUGAUGAUGACACUUAUUUUCCUUAUGCUAGUCCUAUGCUUAAUGAAACAUAUUAUUCCCAUGCUAGUCUUGAGCUUAAUGAUAAAUUUCAUCCUCAUGUUAGUGUCGACCUUGCUGAUUUCUACCAUCCUAAACAUGUGCUUUAUAGCUAUGCUUAUGUAAUUGGAUAUUCGAUUGAUGACUUGGAGGGUAUUAUCCCUACCACUUGCAUUGUCUCUUUCGUUGAGUGCUCUUUCAGGAUUUUGCUUGUGCACGAUCCAUUACAUGCUGACCAGGUUCGAGGUCACAUUCCUUGGGACCCUGGUGGGCUCAGAGCAUGGGGAUGA